rnacentral:tRNA from 1 species
GCCCGCCUAGCUCAAUCGGAUAGAGCGUCAGACUCUUAUCUGGUGUUUCGUUCUGAUGCGGGUAAAUCUGAAGGCUGCGAGUUCGACCCUCGUGGUGGGCU